CAUAGCAAGACCCUGGCUAAAAAGAAGAAAAAAAGAAUGCUUGACCUGUGACCAAAUGGCUUUCCUUAUCUUGGGAAGUGGGAAACUGGCCAAUCCCAGUUCAUCUGGUUAAAACGAACAUCUUGGGUGGUCUAAAAUGGAAAAGAACUUGCUGAAUGUCUUGGAGUCACUGCCAGCUGCUUGUAAUGGGAAGACACUCUCUGAAGGGUAAGACUGUGGCCUCUGACACUGAUGGAUCACAGGCAGCAUGUCGGGGAGGAGCCGCCGCCGGGCGUUGAUGAACCAGUUACAUAUCUGAAAUGAGUACAAGAGAUGGAUCAGUUCACUCCAUCCAACACAGCUAUGAAGUACUGUUUUCCGGGCUCCAGAACACAGCAGCAAACAACACAGACAAGGUCCCACCCUUCACCGAGAUUCGUGGUGGAGAGGACAGUUAUGUAAAAAGUCAAACUGAGCCAGGUAUGGUGGUAUGUGCCAGCUACCAGAGAUACUGAGGCACUUGGGAGCCAUAGGAGGGUUUUGUUUUGUUUAUGGCACUGGAGGUGGAACCUAAGAGCUUUCUAGUGCCCAGCUAAAUCCCAGCCUUUACUUUUUUUUUCAUUACUGGGGUUUGAAUUCCUUUGUGCUUACAAGGCAGGCGGCAGCACCACUGAGCUAUAUCCCCCACAGCCUUUACUUUUUACUUGGAGAAAAGGACUCACUAAGUUGCCCAGGCUGUUCUCUAAGUUGUGAUCCACGUGCCUCAGCCUUCCAAGGAGCUGGGAUUACAGGUGUGCACCAUCAUAACCGGUGCAUUAGGAGGAUUUUAAGCACAGGCUAUGUGGACUACAGACUGGAAGCAAGAAGUCAGGCUGGCAGUGCAGAUUGUGUUAUGGGAUGUGGCAAGAAAAGGACAAGUAUUUCAUGAAAUCAAAGAACCUGCUGCCCAGCUGGCUGUGAAAAGGUGAAGAGGGCAUAACGCUCAAAGUAAUUCACUCCCCAAAAGGCUGGAAAGCACAAUCUUGCUGCAGUGCAGAGAAAGAGCACCAAAGGCAACUACGGGCUGACAGAAACAAAACUUACUAUUUCUAAGAGUUAUCGAGACUAUGAGACUUGAAAUGUCCCACUGGUUGGCUGCAAGGUUCAAGGUGCUUGUGGCUUGGGGGACACAUCUAACACCCUACUCCGUAUUUGUCUGGGCUUUCUGUGCGUGUGGUACCGAGUAUUGAACCCAGCCCUCCUGGACUCUUAAUAGCUCCUCACUUCAUCCUCGUUACUGGUUGUCAGUCUCUUUCUCCUUUUUUCUUUCCAGUACUAGGAACUGAAUGCAGGGCCUCAUACGUGCUAGGCAAGCACUGUACGACUGAAUGAUACCUUCCACCCCUUUUGAGACAAGGUGCUAAGUUGCCCUGGUUGGUCUCAGACUUGCAGUACUUCUAAUUCAGCCUCUGGAGUAGCUGAUAUAGGCUCGUGCCACUGUGUUGGCUGGGGAUGUCUUUUAACACCAGUCCAUCUAAUCACGUGCCAAUAAACUAGUAGGUGAGUAGCCAUCAUUAAGUGCCAGUAAGGAAACAAGAACAAAAGAACAGUGCGUGUGUGCG